UACGAAGGGUGCAAGCGUUACUCGGAAUUACUGGGCGUAAAGCGCGUGUAGGCGGGUCUUUAAGUCAGGGGUGAAAUGCCAAGGCUCAACCUUGGAACUGCCUUUGAUACUGGAGAUCUUGAGUCCGGGAGAGGUGAGUGGAAUUGCGAGUGUAGAGGUGAAAUUCGUAGAUAUUCGCAAGAACACCAGUGGCGAAGGCGGCUCACUGGCCCGGAACUGACGCUGAGACGCGAAAGCGUGGGGAGCAAACAGG
rnacentral:rRNA from 1 species